rnacentral:rRNA from 1 species
UCCGGCUUCAUGCAGUCGAGUUGCAGACUCCAAUUCGAACUGAGACCGGUUUUUAGGGAUUCGCUCCACGUCGCCGGUUCCCAUCCCGUUGUCCGGCCAUUGAAGCAUGGGUGAAGCCCUGGACGUAAGGGGGCAUGAGGAUCUGACGUCAUCCCCACCUUCCUCCG